CCAGUUCAUGCCGGUGGCUGGUGAAGACUAAUUUUAGCGAGAAACCCAGACUGUGUUUUACAUUCUAACAAGCGAUGUUAGUAUGCUUAAACGAUAUCCGUUUUCUCAAAGAGGGCAAUGUUUGCUAACCUGGUCAUUCAAACCUACUGCUAAUGUAAAUAUUCACCUUACCCAAACACCGAUCAUUCUUGUGACGGUGCGUCAGAAUAAAAUUCCCGAAUGGAAACUGGAGCUAGAGUUUAGAGUUCUGGUUGUGAAACACGGAACAAAGAAAUCUGAGAAUGAAAAUCCAGAGUGGUGAGGAAUCAAGUGGUAGAAGACUUCACUGACCUCUUAAUAUAACCUCUAUGACUGAUAUGCCAUCGUAAACCUAACAGAAAGGCAACAGGGUUCCGUGGUAAUGGCCUGGUCACGGCACCUUGACAUGUGGCAGCAACUGAGGGAUCAGGGGUCACAAAUGCAGUCCUACUGGUGAGGAAAGGGUUCCAGCAGUGACUGACAGGAGAGGAGGGCUCAUUGGUUCCCAUAUAGAGCAAUACUGCUGCAUCUCCUCUCCUGCUCCAGCAGAUGUGGAUCCCCAUGGUGACAGGAGAAGAACACCAGAGACACUGCAGAUG
ensembl:lncRNA